rnacentral:rRNA from 1 species
GAUGAACGCUAGCGACAGGCCUAACACAUGCAAGUCGAGGGGCAGCACAUGCGUAGCAAUACAAUGGUGGCGACCGGCGCACGGGUGAGUAACACGUAUGCAACCUACCUGUAAGAGGGGAAUAACCCGGAGAAAUUCGGACUAACACCGCAUAAUACCUCGAAGCUGCAUGGCUUUGAGGUUAAAUAUUUAUAGCUUACAGAUGGGCAUGCGUAACAUUAGAUAGUUGGUGAGGUAACGGCUCACCAAGUCAACGAUGUUUAGGGGUUCUGAGAGGAAGGUCCCCCACACUGGUACUGAGACACGGACCUGACUCCUACGGGAGGCAGCAGUGAGGAAUAUUGGUCAAUGGGCGAGAGCCUGAACCAGCCAAGUCGCGUGAAGGAAGAAGGUUCUAUGGAUUGUAAACUUCUUUUGUAAGGGAGUAAAAUCUCGAACGAGUUCGGGACUGAAGGUACCCUGGGAAUAAGCAUCGGCUAACUCCGUGCCAGCCGCCGCCGUAAUAC